GGGAAUGUAGCUCAGUUGAUAGAGUGCUUACCUAGCAUGCAUGAGGUUCCGGGUUCGAUUCCCAGCAUUACAU
rnacentral:tRNA from 1 species